GAAAGUGCCAUUCGUGAGGGCCAGCCUUCUACCAGGUAUCAGGACCUGACAAGAACCAACACUGUAACUGCUCACCUACUUACAGUGCUGAUGUUGAGCUCAGCACCUUACGUGGUGCACAGAUCUGCUCUGUGCUCUUUGCUGGCACAGGCGUGGCUUUCGAGCCUUUCACUCCACAGCUCCCUGACUGGGGAGCUUCUGUUCCCGCCCACAUGUGUUCACCACCACCAGUUUCGAGAGCUGUUGGUCAGAUCUGUUUCUUUCAGCCCAGGUGGGAUGAAUUUCCCUAGAUCAUUGACGUUAUCUUCCUAGUUGCUUCUGAAAAUAAAUGAUGUUAUAAUUGUAAGUUCCAUAUACAGUACUGCAGACUUCUUUGUGGAGGGUUGGAAAUAAGCAGUAUGUUUUGUUUUUCUAAGGGCCAGGGCUCUAAGGAAAAUACAAUCUAUAAAGACAAUUAAGACUCAGUGACACCCUAAUUGCAUCCCUUGAGAAUGAGCGCUAAGAAUACAUAUACACAGUAUUGUGCUGUGUAAAGAUACCCAAGCUACCAAGGUCUCAAAAUCAAUACAGCUGCAUUAGUGAGGCACAGAGCCCUGGAUAAUUCAUCCUGCAAAGGAAAAAUGCACUGACGGCCGUACUGCUUUUGAUAUUACUAGUUCAGUCAGAACUAUUUCAGGAACCUGUCCAACACUGAGCUGUAUUUUCAAGUGGCUCAGCAUUUUUUGUUUGUUUGGAGCCUUUUUUAAGCCAGUUCUUGUAGGAAAUAUCAUUACAGACACAACCAGGACUUACUUCGUAUAGCUAAACAGGAUGCUUGGGGGGGGGAACAGACGAGGCUGUUACCUUUUGUAUGGCCCAUUACUUGGAAGAAAUCACAGUAUAUCUUUGUUGGUUGUAUGAGACACGUGUAGAACACAGACUACCAGGAUUCUUGAUGUUGUAAGCUAACAGUUCAGUGCUUGGAGACACUUUUGCAAAUGUAAAGAAUAUCCACUCUUUUAUGAGUCAGAAUUCAGUCUCUGCUACUGGAAAUCAGGGGUGUACUCCUAGUUGUAACUGAAGAGUCUGUAAUGGGAAUCUUAUGAUUUAGAGCAACUUAGCACACCGGAAAUGCAGUGAGCAAAGUGAACCUUUGUAUAUGGUAACUAACCACCAUCUCUGUUAAAUCCCCCUCUUGGAAAAGUCUGCAAAGAUGGAUCAUUAACAGGAACUGUGAAAAACACAAGCGUAUUUGUCAGCAGACAGAAGAAUAAUUUUACUUACGAGUGCUCCUAGAAAGAAUAAGGAACCAUGUUAACAUACAGUUAUAAAAGGAUUAGUAUUUGGAGAUUUUAAGUGCUGUAGUCUAGAUUUUCUUCCUGAAUAGGAAAAUAAUAAGACUUGUUAAACUGCAGCAAACAACUAAUUUCUUACAAGUUAGUGAUGUGACUCUGAAUUUGUUCAGUAAUGUUUCAAAAGAGUGUGUAUUCACUUGAAAAGGUCCAUCUUUUGAAACAGCACCCUUCACUGUAAAAUAUAUUCUAGUUUUUGCAGAAAGGUUUUAACAAACACACAGUUUCUUCUGAAGGAGGAGAGUGAUGUAUGAGUAAGCAGUGUUCCAGUGGCCUUAGCAAAGAGCCUGCCAGUGUUGGGUGAGUCAGAUUCAGGUCUCGAUCUCCCAACUUUCACAUCACAGUUAAAACCUUAACCACUAAGCUACUGCCUGAUACACAAUUAGCAUCUUGCCUGUUCUUCUCUUUUUAUACUUUGUAUAAACAAACACUAAUUUUAGCAGAGACUUGAACUUGGGACUUCCAAUCUUUACCUUAGCUCAGCAGCUGUUCUGUGUGAGCUUCUCUUUCUUAUUUCAU